UGCCAAUGUGAAUUGUGUGUCCCUAGAGUCAUUGCCAAGGUAUAUAUUCAUGAUUCAACUUUGCUGUACUGCUUCUGAUUUUUAAUCUUGUUUUGUUUUCAGAUAAUGAAUUUUAUGUGUGCUUGCUAUCCAUCAUAUCGUUCUUUACAUAGGCCAAGUAAAAAUGGGACACUUGAAGUUGGGGAAAACAAAAUUCUUGAUGCUAAAACUGGUUCAGCAAGCAAGAGGCGACGUAGUACCAAGACUGUUAAAAGUGCAGAAAUCAUCAUUUAACAGGGUCUGUGCUGCUGUGAAUAAUAUUCUUUAGAAAAUGAAAGUUGAGAUAAGUGGUAUAGCGUGCAGGAGGUUCAAAAGUCAUGUUAUGCAGCUUGAAGCCCUAUUGAGAGGAGUGGCGCCAAUGUUGACAGCAAUAGGUUGAGGACUAGCAAAAGAAAGAUCAAAAGGCCAAUAAAGUACAUUAACUACCGGGAUUAUACACGGUAUUAUGUGGAGUAAGGGCUACAUAGGAGGAAAGAUCGCUGCAGAUAAAGGUUUGAAGCUUGUUAAAGUCUAGUGUGGUCAAAGUCGUAACUAGUAUCUUCUAUCUCCUAAGAAUCAAGUUUUGCCUUGUCCACAAUGUCUGAAUAGUUCAA